GACAUGGCACUGGGUGGCAACGAUGGCAGCAGCGGUUUUUGUUGUUGUUUCCCCAGAACGCUGUGCAAUAUAUUCCGAUUUUUUUUCUUGUCAUUAAGCCAGUGCCUCGGAGAUGAUGAUGUAGUCCCUAUGUGGGCCGCAGAAAGCACUUCGAGCCGUGCUGGAGUCGUGCUGGGUGGCUCUGAUAGCAGAGCUAAUGGGAGCGAAUGGGAUGCAACGAACUGUUCUAAUGACACCAGCCAGGGAAGAGACAACAGACGAGGUUUUUCCCUGAUGUCAACAGAGUCACACUGCAGAAGAGCCAGUGCUGAUGGGGUCUGCUCCAGCCUGUGGGCACCAGCGAGGUUUGUGAUGGAAGCUAGAUGUGAGCUGGGCAGAGGCAGCACUGGUACAGUUCAUCUAAGUGUGGUUGAUAUGUGUGAGGCUGAAUCACAAAAACAAAACCUGGGAAAAAAAGAAGAUCCAUCUAAAAUACCCUUGUAAAUGAAAGAAAUCCUCUUCUCCUUUUUCUUUUUGGUUUCAGAUUGAAAUAUCUUGUUUUACUCAAGCUUCUCCUUCUGAAAAUUGAUGUACUUUUUAUUGAAAAAAAUGGAAACUGGUGGCAGAGAAUUUGCAAAAGGAAUAAAACCACUGACUGCUUUCAAUAUUUUGCACAGAAAUUAAAACAUUUUCAGGAGUUAUUCUGGGCUGAGUUUUCAGCAGGUACAUAGAUAAGUAAAACUAGUUUUUGCUUAUCCUACUCAUGAACUUCCCGACAUUGUUUUGGAUGAAAUGCAAAAUCAAAUUCUGCAAGAUGUGAUCAUUUAGGGUACUGUGGCAUAUUUUGAAACAGUAGGACUGUUAGCCCCAGCAUUUUGGCCAAAUUCCAGCCUGGAUAAUUGCAUUCUGCCGGCCUAUAUUCAAGCCUGCAGUUUGAAUAGGAAAAAAAAAUCAAAACCAAGAAAGACCCCCCCUAAAAAAAAGAGUUAUCAUUUCUCCUCCAAGAAGUCCUGCUGUGUGAUGACCAGUGCUUUCCCACCCUAGAAGUAGCUGCAUUUGGGAAACAUUGCCUAUAUCAUCCUGCUCCUUUUGCCCAUUGGAUAAAAACUGCUGUGGAGAUGAGCAGCCCCUUUGUGGGAAUAAAGCAGCAGAGCUGACCAGGAUGGAGCUGUGUGCUUUGUGCCAGCCCUGUCAUAGCUGCACAACCUUCACUCUAUAAAGCCCAGAGUCCUGUGUAAGGGCUGGGUCCCCUGUGAUCUGCUUUGUCUGUCCAGUAGCCAUGGGCUGGGGGUACUGGGAGGAUGCACAGCGAGAGGAGAGGGCAGGCUGGCAUCAGAUGGGAAGAGGGAGGACUCACCAGCGGGCUUGACCCGUGUCUGUAAUUUGUAAAGAGCAUUUUUACACCAGAUCAAUGCUUUCCUCAGCAUUUUAAUGCACCCCAUUGGUGUCCUUAAACUCUAAUGAUGCAGUCUGUGAGAAGCUGCCAUUUAUUACCCACAGAUGGGGUGAUAAUUAUUGACAAGAUUGUAACUAAUAAUUAAACCCAUUUGCUCCUUUAAACAAGUUGGUGUGAAUUAUUUGCAGGGAGUUCUUUAGCAGGCCUGUGGUCACUCCUGCCGUGCGUGGGGUGAUGUUGUCCAGGAGCAAUCCCACUGCCAGGGAGGAGGGAAGGCUGCUCACAAAGCUGGGCUGCUCAAAUCUGUGGCGGGAGUCCUUCCUCUCCCCUUCUGUGGUGCCUAAGCUCGGGUGCGUUAGUGAGAGGUGUGUGAGCACCACCAUGCUCCUCCCCAUCCCCGGGGCUGCACCUCCUGAAUCCCAGCUCCUUCCAGGGCUAGUGCUGGGGACUCACACGGGCUCUGCUCAAGGGACUUGGGCCAAACGUGGAGCCAUGAUGGAAAAAUGUAUCCAUGAGAACUUUUCUG
rnacentral:lncRNA from 1 species